rnacentral:rRNA from 1 species
UGGGGAAUUUUGGACAAUGGGCGAAAGCCUGAUCCAGCCAUGCCGCGUGUGUGAAGAAGGCCUUCGGGUUGUAAAGCUCUUUCGGCCGGGACGAAAAGGUUCACAUUAAUACUGUGGACCCAUGACGGUACCGGAAGAAGAAGCACCGGCUAACUACGUGCCAGCAGCCGCGGUAAUACGUAGGGUGCAGGCGUUAAUCGGAAUUACUGGGCGUAAAGCGUGCGCAGGCGGUUUGCUAAGAGAGAUGUGAAAUCCCCGGGCUUAACCUGGGAACUGCGUUUCUAACUGGCAGGCUUGAGUGUGGCAGAGGGGGGUGGAAUUCCACGUGUAGCAGUGAAAUGCGUAGAGAUGUGGAGGAACACCGAUGGCGAAGGCAGCCCCCUGGGCUAACACUGACGCUCAUGCACGAAAGCGUGGGGAGCAAACAGGAUUAGAUACCCUGGUAGUCCACGCCCUAAACUAUGUCAACUGGUUGUCGGGGAAGCAAUUCCUUGGUAACGAAGCUAACGCGUGAAGUUGACCGCCUGGGGAGUACGGCCGCAAGGUUAA